ensembl:lncRNA novel transcript, antisense to ITPRIP
UUGCAAGAUUUAAUUCUUCCUUUAAUAUAAAUAAGGCAGCAUGAAACACCAAGAGCCCCACUGCUUUCUGCUUUAGAAGCAGCUUUGUGAGAAGUGUAGCUGAAAAAGUGGCUAAUUGUGUUUCUCUAUGCCACCAAGUACCCAUUUCCGUGUGACAGAGACGUUAGUCAUUUGGGCCUCGAAUUUAUACAAGGUCUUUUCUCCAAAUAGUAUAAAAAAGUGGCAGCCAUGGUGGGACCACUAU